UUCCAAUAUCCUGAGCCUUCAAAUGCUGCUGGACAGUAUGGCCAAGCUGAUUACAUGAGCGAGGGAUCUUCAACUUCCUCCACCCAACAGGGAUCCUUCCCCAGUUACCCAACAUAUGUGGGAGCCCAACCUGCCUAUCCGUCUGUGGUGUUAAGCCCCUCUUAUGGGUUCUCUGGAGGAGAGAACCCCAACUUCAGUCAACUGGGCUACCAGCCACGUGAUGAAAUUCCUUCGCUUCCACAAACGUAUGUCAGCCCCCAAAAUGUUCAGGUUGCCCAGAGAGUGAGUGAACCGAUCCUUCCUCCGCCACCUCCAAGCUAUAUUGUCCAGUCCAGAAACGGCUACCAGCGAGCCAGGUAUCUCUUCAAUAAAUCCAGGUACUCCCCAGAGGUUGGCUUGCCACUGUCUGUACACUCAAAGGGUGCCAAGGGUAAUCCAGCUGCUCCUAAGGGUGCAAAGAACCCUGAAAGAACAAGUGUACAUGGAUAAUAUGUCCCAAGUUGCAGAAUGCUGUGCCCUCUGAAGAAACAAAAUAAAAUAUUUUUUAAAUUUGUGAAGUCUUGCAUGUG